GAAGAAGAUACGUGAACGAUGGUGAAUACAUGUAGCUGUUGAAUCGGCUGGGAUAAAUGGUGGAUUACGAUGACUCCUUUGAUGACUACAUGGAUCGCCGGUGACUUGUGGCUCAUGGCGGUGACUGGUGGUGGUGAUGUGUCACAUGUGGUGAUGUAACCGUGACUGAACCAGCAGGUGACUUGGAGCAGGAUGACUAAACGAACUAGAUGAGCUAAGUGACACUAAUUUGGAGCAGAAUGAGCUAAGCUACAUUGAGGUUGUUAUGGACCGAGCUAGAAAGGAAGAAAGUC
rnacentral:lncRNA from 1 species